rnacentral:rRNA from 1 species
AUACGUAGGUGACAAGCGUUAUCCGGAUUUACUGGGCGUAAAGGGCGUGUAGGCGGUCUUGCAAGUCAGAAGUGAAAUUCCUGAGCUCAACUCGGGCGCUGCUUCUGAAACUGCAGGACUUGAGUGCUGGAGGGGAUAGCGGAAUUCCUAGUGGAGCGGUAAAAUGCGCAGAUAUUAGGAAGAACACCGGUGGCGAAGGCGGCUAUCUGGACAGUAACUGACGCUGAGGCGCGAAAGCGUGGGGAGCAAACAGGAUUAGAUACCCUGGUAGUCCACGCUGUAAACGAUGAAUACUAGGUGUGCGGGGACUGACCCCCUGCGUGCCGCAGCUAACGCAAUAAGUAUUCCACCUGGGGAGUACGAUCGCAAGGUUGAAACGCAAAGGAAUUGACGGU